GCCUAGUUAGCUUAGUUGGUAGUGCGUCUGCCUUGUAAGCGCUAGGCUGCGGCUGCGGGUUCGAUUCCCGCCCGGGGCG
rnacentral:tRNA from 1 species